GAUGUAGGUGGCUUUGUAAGUCAGAUGUGAAAGCCCCGGGCUCAACUCGGGAAGUGCAUUUGAUACUGCGAAGCUUGAGUGCUAGAGAGGUUACUAGAAUACCUGGUGUAGUGGUGAAAUACGUAGAUAUCAGGUGGAAUACCGGCGGCGAAGGCGGGUAACCAGCUAGACACUGACACUGAGAUCCGAAAGUGUGGGGAUCAAACA
rnacentral:rRNA from 1 species